GAACGCUAGCUACAGGCUUAACACAUGCAAGUCGAGGGGCAGCAUGAACUUAGCUUGCUAAGUUUGAUGGCGACCGGCGCACGGGUGAGUAACGCGUAUCCAACCUGCCCCGAGGUCAGGGACAGCCCGGCGAAAGUCGGAUUAAUACCUGAUGGUCUCUUUUGAUGGCAUCUGAGGAGGAGUAAAGAUUCAUCGCCUUGGGAUGGGGAUGCGUAGGAUUAGGCAGCAGGCGGGGUAACGGCCCACCUGGCCAUCGAUCCUUAGGGGUUCUGAGAGGAAGGUCCCCCACACUGGUACUGAGACACGGACCAGACUCCUACGGGAGGCAGCAGUGAGGAAUAUUGGUCAAUGGGCGAGAGCCUGAACCAGCCAAGUAGCGUGCAGGAAGACGGCCCUACGGGUUGUAAACUGCUUUUAUGAGGGGAUAACGUGCGCCACGUGUGGUGUAUUGCAGGUACCUCAUGAAUAAGGACCGGCUAAUUCCGUGCC
rnacentral:rRNA from 1 species